rnacentral:rRNA from 1 species
AUUGAACGCUGGCGGCAUGCCUAACACAUGCAAGUCGAACGGCAGCACGGCAGUAGCAAUACUGUGGGUGGCGAGUGGCGGACGGGUGAGGAAUACGUCGGAAUCUGCCCAGUCGUGGGGGAUAACUAGCCGAAAGGUUAGCUAAUACCGCAUACGACCGAGAGGUGAAAGCGGGGGACCGCAAGGCCUCGCGCGAUUGGAUGAGCCGACGUCGGAUUAGCUAGUUGGAGGGUAAAGGCCCACCAAGGCGACGAUCCGUAGCUAGUCUGAGAGGAUGAUCAGCCACACUGGAACUGAGACACGGUCCAGACUCCUACGGGAGGCAGCAGUGGGGAAUAUUGGACAAUGGGCGCAAGCCUGAUCCAGCAAUGCCGCGUGUGUGAAGAAGGCCUCGGUU